UACGUAGGGGGCUAGCGUUGUCCGGAUUUAUUGGGCGUAAAGGGCUCGUAGGCGGCCAACUAAGUCAGACGUGAAAUCCCUCGGCUUAACCGGGGGAACUGCGUCUGAUACUGGAUGGCUUGAGAUUGGGAGAGGGAUGCGGAAUUCCAGGUGUAGCGGUGAAAUGCGUAGAUAUCUGGAGGAACACCGGUGGCGAAGGCGGCAUCCUGGACCGACACUGACGCUGAGGAGCGAAAGCCAGGGGAGCAAACGGG
rnacentral:rRNA from 1 species